rnacentral:rRNA from 1 species
UACGGAGGGUGCGAGCGUUGUCCGGAAUCAUUGGGCGUAAAGGGCGCGUAGGUGGCGGGACAAGCGUGCGGUGAAAGCCUGGGGCUCAACCCCGGGUCGGCCGUGCGAACUGUUUUGCUUGAGCACUGUAGAGGCAGGCGGAAUUCCGGGUGUAGCGGUGGAAUGCGUAGAGAUCCGGAAGAACACCGGUGGCGAAGGUGGCCUGCUGGGCAGUAGCUGACACUG